rnacentral:rRNA from 1 species
CCUGCCGGCGGGCACCGCUAUUGGAGUUCGCUUAAGCCAUGCGAGUCGAGAGGGGUAAGCCCUCGGCGCACUGCUCAGUAACACGCGGACAAUCUGCCCUCGAGACGGGGAUAAUCCCGGGAAACUGGGAAUAAUACCCGAUAGGUCUGGGAUGAUGGAAGGCUCCCUGGCCAAAAUCUUCCGGGGCUCGAGGAUGGGUCUGCGGCCUAUCAGGUCGUAGGGGGUUUUACGGACCCCCUAGCCGAAGACGGGUACGGGCUUUGGGAGAAGUCGCCCGGAGAUGGACUCUGAGACACGAAUCCAGGUCCUACGGGACGCAGCAGGCGCGAAACCUCCACAAUGUGGGCAACCACGAUGGGGGAACUCCAAGUGCUUACACUUUUGUGUAAGCUGUUCUCGAGCCUAAAAAGCUCGAGAAGUAAGGGCCGGGUAAGACGGGUGCCAGCCGCCACGGUAAUACCCGCGGCCCGAGUGGUGCUCAUUAUUAUUGAGCCUAAAGCGUCCGUAGCUGGCCGGGCAAAUCUCCGGGUAAAUCGGGCCGCU